rnacentral:scRNA from 1 species
GAUUGGGGCUGGCCGAAAAGCGGAAAGCUCAG